CAGUAGCCGCGGGAACACGUAGGGCGCAAGCGUUGUCCGGAAUUAUUGGGCGUAAAGAGCUCGUAGGCGGUCUGUCGCGUCUGGUGUGAAAUCCCGAGGCUCAACCUCGGGCUUGCAUCGGGUACGGGCAGACUAGAGUGCGGUAGGGGAGACUGGAAUUCCUGGUGUAGCGGUGGAAUGCGCAGAUAUCAGGAGGAACACCGAUGGCGAAGGCAGGUCUCUGGGCCGCAACUGACGCUGAGGAGCGAAAGCAUGGGGAGCGAACAGGAUUAGAUACCCCCGUAGUCCCUGUCUCUUAUAC
rnacentral:rRNA from 1 species